GUUAUAGGGUCAAGCGAAUAAGUGCAUGUGGUGGAUGCCUUGGCGAUCACAGGCGAUGAAGGACGUAGUAGCUUGCGAAAAGCUGCGGGGAGCUGGCAAACGAGCUUUGAUCCGCAGAUGUCCGAAUGGGGAAACCCGGCCCGUAUGGGUCAUCCCUUGCUGAAUACAUAGGCAAGGGAGGCGAACGCAGUGAACUGAAACAUCUAAGUAGCUGCAGGAAAAGAAAUCAACCGAGAUUCCCAAAGUAGUGGCGAGCGAAAUGGGAACAGCCUUGUACUCUUUAGCAGUAUUGUUAGCGGAACGGAAUGGAAAGUCCGGCCAUAGUGGGUGAUAGCCCCGUACGCGAAAACAGUAUUGUGGAACUAGGUGUACGACAAGUAGGGCGGGACACGUGAAAUCCUGUCUGAAGAUGGGGGGACCAUCCUCCAAGGCUAAAUACUCGUGAUCGACCGAUAGUGAACCAGUACCGUGAGGGAAAGGCGAAAAGAACCCCGGGAGGGGAGUGAAAUAGAUCCUGAAACCGCAUGCAUACAAACAGUCGGAGCCUGGAAACGGGUGACGGCGUACCUUUUGUAUAAUGGGUCAGCGACUUACAUUCAGUGGCAAGCUUAACCGAUUAGGGAAGGCGUAGCGAAAGCGAGUCCGAAUAGGGCGUUCAGUCGCUGGGUGUAGACCCGAAACCAAGUGAUCUAUCCAUGGCCAGGUUGAAGGUGCGGUAACACGUACUGGAGGACCGAACCCACUAACGUUGAAAAGUUAGGGGAUGAGCUGUGGAUAGGGGUGAAAGGCUAAACAAACUUGGAAAUAGCUGGUUCUCUCCGAAAACUAUUUAGGUAGUGCCUCGUGUCUCACCUUCGGGGGUAGAGCACUGUCAUGGUUGGGGGGUCUAUUGCUGAUUACCCCGCCAUAGCAAACUCCGAAUACCGAAGAGUGCAAUCACGGGAGACAGACAUCGGGUGCUAACGUCCGGUGUCAAGAGGGAAACAACCCAGACCGCCAGCUAAGGUCCCUAAGAUUGGCUAAGUGGGAAACGAAGUGGGAAGGCUAAAACAGUCAGGAGGUUGGCUUAGAAGCAGCCACCCUUUAAAGAAAGCGUAAUAGCUCACUGAUCGAGUCGUCCUGCGCGGAAGAUGUAACGGGGCUAAGCCAGUCACCGAAGCUGCGGAUGCACGUAAGUGCAUGGUAGGAGAGCGUUCUGUAAGCCUGUGAAGGUGUCUUGUAAAGGAUGCUGGAGGUAUCAGAAGUGCGAAUGCUGACAUGAGUAGCGAUAAAGGGGGUGAAAGGCCCCCUCGCCGUAAGCCCAAGGUUUCCUACGCAACGUUCAUCGGCGUAGGGUGAGUCGGCCCCUAAGGCGAGGCAGAGAUGCGUAGCUGAUGGGAAGCAGGUUAAUAUUCCUGCACCGUCGUAUGAUGCGAUGGGGGGACGGAUCGCGGAAGGUUGUCCGGGUGUUGGAAGUCCCGGUCCCUACAUUGGAGAUGGCACUUAGGCAAAUCCGGGUGCGUGAUUCAAGGGUGUGGGGCGAGCGACGUUAGGUCGCGAAGCAAUUGGAAGUGGUUCCAAGAAAAGCCUCUAAGCUUCAGUCAUACGAGACCGUACCGCAAACCGACACAGGUGGGCGAGAUGAGUAUUCUAAGGCGCUUGAGAGAACUCGGGAGAAGGAACUCGGCAAAUUGGUACCGUAACUUCGGGAUAAGGUACGCCCUUGUAGUUUGACUGGCUCGCGCCAGAAGGAUGAAGGGGUUGCAAUAAAAUGGUGGCUGCGACUGUUUAAUAAAAACACAGCACUCUGCAAACACGAAAGUGGACGUAUAGGGUGUGACGCCUGCCCGGUGCCGGAAGAUUAAAUGAUGGGGUGCAAGCUCUUGAUUGAAGUCCCGGUAAACGGCGGCCGUAACUAUAACGGUCCUAAGGUAGCGAAAUUCCUUGUCGGGUAAGUUCCGACCUGCACGAAUGGCGUAACGAUGGCCACACUGUCUCCUCCCGAGACUCAGCGAAGUUGAAGUGUUUGUGAUGAUGCAAUCUCCCCGCGGCUAGACGGAAAGACCCCAUGAACCUUUACUGUAGCUUUGCAUUGGACUUUGAACCGAUCUGUGUAGGAUAGGUGGGAGGCUUUGAAACCGGGACGCUAGUUUCGGUGGAGCCGACCUUGAAAUACCACCCUGGUUUGUUUGAGGUUCUAACCUUGGCCCGUGAAUCCGGGUCGGGGACAGUGCAUGGUAGGCAGUUUGACUGGGGCGGUCUCCUCCCAAAGUGUAACGGAGGAGUUCGAAGGUACGCUUGGUACGGUCGGACAUCGUACCUAAAGUGCAAUGGCAAAAGCGUGCUUAACUGCGAGACCGACAAGUCGAGCAGGUGCGAAAGCAGGACAUAGUGAUCCGGUGGUUCUGUAUGGAAGGGCCAUCGCUCAACGGAUAAAAGGUACUCUGGGGAUAACAGGCUGAUACCGCCCAAGAGUUCAUAUCGACGGCGGUGUUUGGCACCUCGAUGUCGGCUCAUCUCAUCCUGGGGCUGUAGCCGGUCCCAAGGGUAUGGCUGUUCGCCAUUUAAAGAGGUACGUGAGCUGGGUUUAAAACGUCGUGAGACAGUUUGGUCCCUAUCUGCCGUGGGCGUUGGAAUCUUGACGGGGGCUGCUCCUAGUACGAGAGGACCGGAGUGGACGUACCGCUGGUGUACCUGUUGUCUCGCCAGAGGCAUCGCAGGGUAGCUAUGUACGGAAGAGAUAACCGCUGAAAGCAUCUAAGCGGGAAACUCGCCUGAAGAUGAGGAUUCCCUGGAGACUUGAUCUCCCUGAAGGGUCGUUCGAGA
rnacentral:rRNA from 1 species